rnacentral:misc_RNA from 1 species
CAGAAAUUCCCAAUGGAGGUAAGGACCCGUCACAGAACAUUUUAACCAAGUCACAUCUUAAUGUAGUGUGGUUUUAGGUCUUGUGAGGGUAGAAAAGCACUCAGAAUUUAUGGAAACUGCAUUUAUUUAAGACUGGCUUCCAGAAUUGCUUUAAUUUAUAUUCUGACUUCCCAUUUUACCUUCUUUGGACUAAAGGCAUAACAAGCACACAAAAAGAAAG